UUUUCUGCCAUGCUUUGGAACGAGUAGUACGCAACAGUCAUGUAGGAUCUCGGGGCGCAUGCGUGUUGCCAUAGAUGUUUGGCAGGAAUGAUUGAAACAGGCCACUGAGUUUGGGGCAGGAAAGACAGAGAGGGUGGAUUGGUGAGGACACGCAUUUCCAGGCAGAAAGUAUCUGCGCCCAGCAAUUGUGUUAGCAGGCAAUUUAAGAUGACCUUAGUUCAACUCCCAGCAGCCAUUUAGCCACACACAACCAUCUAUAACUCCAGUUCCAGCGGAUCUGAGACCUUCUUCUGACCUCUUCUGGUACAAGGCUUGCAUGUGGUACACAGACAUAUAUACAGGAGAGUCUCCAAAGUCUGGAGGAUGGGAUAUAGCUUCUAUUCCAGGGUAUUUGCAAAGAGUUCCUGCAGCCUGUGAAGAGGACCUGAGUUUGGUUUCCAGAACCCACCUCAGGCCGCUUUAACUCCAGAGAUCCAGAGAUCCAGUGCCUUCUUCUGGUUUCCAAGGGCGCGUGCACACACAGACACACACAGACACACACACACAUAAACACACAGACACACACACACAGAUACACACAGACACACACACACAUAAAACACACAGACACACACAUAAACACACACAGACAUACACAGACACACACACAGACACACACACACAUAAACACACAGACACACACACAGAUACACACAGACAUAAACACACACAUAAAACACACAGACACACACACACAUAAACACACACAGACAUACACAGACACACACACACAUAAACACACAGACACACACACACAUAAACACACACAGACAUACACAGACACACAUACAGACACACACACACAUAAACACACAGACACACACACACACUCACAUAAAUAAAAAUGAAUAAAUAAACCAAAUGCUUCCAUCCAAAGACAAUUCCAGUUAGCAUCUUCUUGCCUCUCUGUGUGCCAUUUUUCUGUAUACUAAUGAGAACUUAACCCACUCAACUUGACAGCAGGCAUCUAUUAUGUGUUGUUCCUUUUUGUCUCAUGAGCAUCUCCCUUCCAAUCACGGUGGCUUAGCACAUGUCAUUUGCAGUAUCUGCGGCACAGUCUGUAGAGAGAAGGCAUUGAAUUCACUUCAUCACUGGGAGGACGUCUCUUUUUUUUCUAGCGUUGUCCUUGUAUGAACAUUUAAUGACAAAUGACGUAGUCCAGUUAGGCUGCCCUUCAGCCACACAGAGAGAACUCUUUGUAGGCUCCCCUCAGGAAAGAGGCAGAAAAGUCAGAUUUCUAACUCCAUCAACACUGGUUCAAAGAAAAACCCCACACUUGCAAGAUGGUGGAGCUUUAAAGCAGAUACACGGAAUCAUGUUCAUAAAUGCAUUACUUAGCCUACCUCUUGCAUGCGUUAGUUGGAGGACUCGGAAGAGCACCUAGCCCACUUCCUGACUCUGAGUCGAUGUGCACAAUCUCCACAUAAAACUUAAUAUCCAACUGACCGAAAACACUGACCUUGCCAUAUGUGUGAUCUCUGGAAAUCAGUCCAUCCCUGGAUAUCGUUUUAUCUCGGUUCUCAAUAUUUCCCUUGCUGAAUGGCUCCCAGUUUCCCUCCACUGUCACUGGAGACUUGUUCUCUUUACUGAAGGACAGUGAGAGAAUCUCAUGAGUUCUGAUCACAAACCUCACGGGAUUCUAAGCAGUACAACGUUACAAAUUAGAAUCACUGAAGCCCUUUCAGAAGAAGGAGCAGCAGACACACCCAGAGAGACCUCUCCAAACCCUCACUCUCUCCAAAACCCACUGUGCUCCCAUGGCUUUUCUUUGACUGGGAAACAAUGAAUUCACACAAACACAAACCGAAAAACAAAGACCAAGACGGAAACUACAUCAAAAGCAGGGGCUAAUUUGGAAACAUCCAGGGCUCUGGUGGGCCAAGUUGGGUGUGACUCCCAAGGCUGCCACCCAAUGGGCUCCUUGAGGGGAACAGCUCGUCUCCCAGAUCAUCUUGGCUUCAGGUCUGUGCCUUUUCUUGACAGAGACACCUCAUUGUUCGAUUCUCCUUUGUGAGAUGUCUUAGUGGAGCUAUAAAUCACCCUGGAUCACCAGCAAGGCCUCCCUCCCAGGUGUCCCCAAGCCAACUGAACUUGACAAGACCUGAAAAUACUGUCACCCAUGUCCAGAUAGGGGUGGCUGUGAUCCAUCGUUAAUCUCGGAAGUGAGUAAGAGCUAAUGGUCCUGUUACCACAAAGUCCCCUGACAGCAAGGAACCUGCGCAUUCCUGUCCUGGCAUCCGGAAGAUUUGCGCUUCUCUUCUCAGGAGCAGAUGUGAGAGUCAGAGUUCAAAGGUUGAAAGACCUCCUAGAUGGAGGUUUUACUAGUCAUCAGCCAAGUCCAAGGGAGUUGGGUGUGAAGGUGAGAAAACAGCCAGGACUCCCAACCGCUCUGGCAAGUUACUGACACAUUAAUUGAAGAAAGUCACUCAGAAUUCUCAUCCGCUUUGCCUACCACACUGGAGUCUGCACACGGCCCAACGCACAGUUCCCAGACCCAAAGAAGAAGGCAUUGGUUAGGAACCAGGAGCCAGGCUGCUACAGUGUGGCUCGGUCUUUCUUGGCUUUUUUACUAUCUUGUUUUAUGAGGGUUUGGUGGGCAUGAGUGUCUUCUGGUGCAAGUGCUUAUUAAAUCCUGUGUAUAGAACCAGCAGUCAGCCUUGGGUGCUGGUCUUCGGGAACUGUCUACUUCCGGUCUUUAA